UACCCCCAGAGAGUAAGAAGGGCCCUGAUGGAGCUCAACAGAUCUGUGUGUCUAGACCAACCUGAAGCUGACGUCCCAUGGUUCCAUUCUAAAUUCUGUGAGGAGCAAAAAGCGUUAGGUCAGCUCGAAGUAGUGCCCAAAUCACUUCUGUUCACUGAUGUGUACAGCACAUUGCUGAAACUUGUGGGAGGCAGUCAAUACAUUGGCACCAGGACUUUCUCACCCUACGGCUAUGUGUUAGAUAUGCAAGUAAAUUUAGAUGCAGCAUUACAACCAGUGCCUCUGAAAAGUGACGAAGGUGUUAACAAAUUAGCCUUGCUGUUGUACCACGGAGACAGUUACACAGCGUUUGAGCAGCGACUGAAGGGCUUCCUCCAGAUGAAGCAGAGACAUUUGGAGAUCCUCGGCUACAGAGUCAUCAGCCUGUCAGACUCUCUGUGGAACGCCAUGUACAUGACAGAACCCAAGGUCAAGCUGGAGUACCUGCAUAGUCUCAUUUGGCCUUCAUGACAGGAAUUCUCAAAUGAAGAUGAAGAUCCAAAGUGACGAUGCCAAAUGCUGCAAAAAAACUGAUUAGUGAGAAGACUAUCUCUACACAGACAGACUGCAGUGGAGAGCCGUCUCUACACAGAUUAGCCUCUACUGUGGAUAACCACGGCAUCUUGGGCCACACCUGGUGUAUACCCUGCUU